rnacentral:tRNA from 1 species
UCCCUGGUGGUCCUGUGGCUAAGACUUCAUGUUUUCAAUGUUGGGGCCCAGGUUGGAUUCCUGGUCAGGGAA